AACCCUUCCGGUCUCCUUCAAGGUCACCCAAGUUAAGGUAAACGUCGAAGGUAUCAACGUCAACGAAAGCGAAUCUUAAUCGAACCUAACCUAUAUGGAUAAAAAUAUAAACCAUGGAAAAACAUUGCUCGGAUCUUGUUCCCUGGACCUUGGAGGACUUUUUGGUGUGGAUGAUGUUCAGUACGCCCUGUACAUUGCAAUGGAAGCACAGUGUGAUUUCACUAAGGAAACAUGCAGCAAAUUAGGCGAUGGUGGUGCCUAGUUCUCUUGCAGGACUUUCCCAUGCCGUCUGAAGAAGAGAGGUUGAAAGAUC